GACGAACGCUGGCGGCGUGCUUAACACAUGCAAGUCGAACGGAAAGGCCCCAGCUUGCUGGGGUACUCGAGUGGCGAACGGGUGAGUAACACGUGGGUGAUCUGCCUUGCACUCUGGGAUAAGCUUGGGAAACUGGGUCUAAUACCGGAUAUGAACUGCCUUUAGUGUGGUGGUUGGAAAGUUUUUUCGGUGCAAGAUGGACUCGCGUCCCAUUAGCUAGUUGGUGAGGUAACGGCCCACCAAGGCGACGAUGGGUAGCCGGCCUGAGAGGGUGAACGGCCACAUUGGAACUGAGAAACGGUCCAAACUCCUACGGGAGGCAGCAGUGGGGAAUAUUGCACAAUGGAGGGAACUCUGAUGCAGCGACGCCGCGUGAACGAUGAAGGCUUUCGAGUCGUAAAGUUCUUUUAUAUGGGAAGAUAAUGACGGUACCAUAAGAAAAAGCCCCGGCUAACUACGUGCCAGCAGCCGCGGUAAUACGUAGGGGGCUAGCGUUGUCCGGAAUCACUGGGCGUAAAGGGUUCGCAGGCGGAAAUGCAAGUCAGAUGUAAAAGGCAGUAGCUUAACUACUGUAAGCAUUUGAAACUGCAUAUCUUGAGAAGAGUAGAGGUAAGUGGAAUUUUUAGUGUAGCGGUGAAAUGCGUAGAUAUUAAAAAGAAUACCGGUGGCGAAGGCGACUUACUGGGCUCAUUCUGACGCUGAGGAACGAAAGCGUGGGUAGCAAACAGGAUUAGAUACCCUGGUAGUCCACGCUGUAAACGAUGAGUGCUAGGUAUCGGAAUAAUUCGGUGCCGCAGUUAACACAUUAAGCACUCCGCCUGGGGAGUACGUGCGCAAGCAUGAAACUCAAAGGAAUUGACGGGGACCCGCACAAGCAGCGGAGCAUGUGGUUUAAUUCGAAGCAACGCGAAGAACCUUACCAGGGCUUGACAUACUGAGGACCGGUAUAGAGAUAUACCCUCUUCUUCGGAAGCCUCAAUACAGGUGGUGCAUGGUUGUCGUCAGCUCGUGUCGUGAGAUGUUCAGUUAAGUCUGGCAACGAGCGCAACCCCUAUCUUUAGUUACCAGCAUUUUGGAUGGGGACUCUAAAGAGACUGCCGAUGAUAAAUCGGAGGAAGGUGGGGAUGACGUCAAAUCAUCAUGCCCUAUAUGCCCUGGGCUACACACGUGCUACAAUGGAAGAUACAAAGGGAAGCGAGAUAGUGAUAUUAAGCCAACCUCAAAAAGUCUUUCCCAGUUCGGAUUGUACUCUGCAACUCGAGUACAUGAAGAUGGAGUUGCUAGUAAUCGCAGAUCAGCAUGCUGCGGUGAAUGCGUUCCCGGGUCU
rnacentral:rRNA from 1 species